GAUGAACGCUGGCGGCGUGCCUAAUACAUGCAAGUCGAGCGAACAGACGAGGAGCUUUCUCCUCUGACGUUAGCGGCGGACGGGUGAGUAACACGUGGAUAACCUACCUAUAAGACUGGGAUAACUUCGGGAAACCGGAGCUAAUACCGGAUAAUAUAUUGAACCGCAUGGUUCAAUAGUGAAAGACGGUUUUGCUGUCACUUAUAGAUGGAUCCGCGCCGCAUUAGCUAGUUGGUAAGGUAACGGCUUACCAAGGCAACGAUGCGUAGCCGACCUGAGAGGGUGAUCGGCCACACUGGAACUGAGACACGGUCCAGACUCCUACGGGAGGCAGCAGUAGGGAAUCUUCCGCAAUGGGCGAAAGCUUGACGGAGCAACGCCGCGUGAGUGAUGAAGGUCUUCGGAUCGUAAAACUCUGUUAUUAGGGAAGAACAAAUGUGUAAGUAACUAUGCACGUCUUGACGGUACCUAAUCAGAAAGCCACGGCUAACUACGUG
rnacentral:rRNA from 1 species